rnacentral:misc_RNA from 1 species
GUCAAAAAGGAAAUUAUAGAAGGAAGGGGGACAAGGAAAAAAGCAGUAUGUAUUUACACCAAUAGCCUAAUUUCACUGAAAAUUAAAUAUUUUCCAUUAUUUAAGAUAGUGAAAAGUUCCCCAUAUUAAAAAUAGCACGACUUCAGGGGUUAUUGCAUCCAUUCAAAUCUCUAAAAUCAAAUGGAACAAUAUGCAAAUUUAAGAAGCUGAUAAUUGAAAUGCUUCUACUGAAUUUAGUAUGAUGAAUUUGUGCCAUAUCUAUUAAGAGUAAAA